CGCGGCGGAGGGGCGGCGCCCCGACCCAGGCCCAGCACCGUGGGCACCGCCAGGCCGGCGCGUAUGGAGGCGGUGGGACGCCUGCGGCGCGGGGCGCUGCGUGUUGUUCCUGCCUCCUAGAUUUGAGCCAGAGAGAACCCAGUUAACUGGACGCCUGAUGCUGUGUGCUGUGGACCCACCUGGGGUUCAUGGAGUGGGCCACGGGGCCCAGCCCUAAGCACUGCUGCGCCCAGGGUCGCCGCGCCUCCUGCUGAGGGGUCCCCGUGCCACUGGCUCUCACCAUUGCCCUCGCCUGCCGAUGGCCUCUGCUGCCCAGCCUGGGGCCAGCUCUACCGCCUGAGCCCCCUGCCCCACUCCAGGACUCACCGUACCCCGAUGGGGUAACGUGACACAGGCCCCACACGUCAGAGGCCGCUGUCCCCACGGCCACUGCCCGUGACCCCUGGCCCAAGGCAGCUGGAGUUGGUUCAGUUCAAGUUCAUUCUUCCUCUGGCCCUUGGGGGCUUGGGGCCCACCUCUGAGUGAAGGGGGCUGUCUGCCCAUCCAC
rnacentral:misc_RNA from 1 species